AUGCUCCGGCUGAUCGAGCACCUCCAAGGCCAGACUAUGUCCCUGGGCUUCUGUAUCCACAGCCCCAGGUACCUGGCAGGCGGCAAGGCCCUUAAGGGCUGCCUGUUGAGUGGACGCGUGAAUUUCAAUGAUGGAAAGAAAGCAUCAGAAAGGGCACUGGGAGCAGUUGGAAUGAAACAAGAGCAUCAUCAAAGGCAAAAGCAAAACCAAACCAAACGAGCAAAUCAGCCUGUAAGGCAGCGGAGUGAAGCUCGGCGCGGACAGCUGCAGAAGGAAACUCGAACUGCUGCCAAGGAGUAGAUCGAAGUCUGUCUCCACCAGACCACGCCCUGCAAGCGUCGCUCUUCCUCAAAAUACAACCUUGCUGGAAUUUUCUCCUUCUCAUCCUUCAUUGACGGGAAUUAGUGAUGGAACACUCCAUAUGUUACUGACAAGAAUGCAGCCUUCUAAAAGGCGAGUAUUUGGCCGGUGCAGUGGCUGACACCUGUAAUUCCAGAACUUUGGGAGGUCAAGAUAGGUGGAUCAC
rnacentral:lncRNA from 1 species